CUGCCAGCCCGGGUCUCGCGAGACCUUCCGCACACCCUUUUCAACAUACUUCUGUGUGGGUUGCCCAGCUACCAGUUUACAUUAAAACUAGCCGAGCCAGAACGCGCAAUCAGGACCAUGAACGGUGUUAGUGAGCGGUAACGUGUGGUGUCUGCGACCCGGCAUGGCGUGUGUUUUGAGAAGCAAGGCGCGGUGUGCACAAUGCAUGGUAAUGU